CCUACGGGGUGCAGCAGUGGGGGAUAUUGCACAAUGGGGGAAACCCUGAUGCAGCGACGCCGCGUGGGCGAAGAAGUAUUUCGGUAUGUAAAGCCCUAUCAGCAGGGAAGAAGAAAUGACGGUACCUGAGUAAGAAGCACCGGCUAAAUACGUGCCAGCAGCCGCGGUAAUACGUAUGGUGCAAGCGUUAUCCGGAUUUACUGGGUGUAAAGGGAGCGUAGACGGUAUGGCAAGUCUGAAGUGAAAGCCCAGGGCUUAACCCUGGGACUGCUUUGGAAACUGUUAGACUAGAGUGCUGGAGAGGUAAGUGGAAUUCCUAGUGUAGCGGUGAAAUGCGUAGAUAUUAGGAGGAACACCAGUGGCGAAGGCGGCUUACUGGACAGUAACUGACGUUGAGGCUCGAAAGCGUGGGGAGCAAACAGGAUUAGAUACCCCUGUAGUC
rnacentral:rRNA from 1 species